CUGUUUAAAAUUCUAGUUAUCCUAGUAAAAUAUUAACUAGCUGUCUAGAGAAGCAUUUUAAAGAAAAAAAGUGAUAAGCUCAUAUGACUUAGUGUUCUGUCAAAGAGAGAGAGAGAAUUCUUUUACUGAGAGAAUCAAAGUUAUUUAUUAAGUGUAUUUUCAGUGUCAAAACAGAAAAUAGAAGGCUCUUUCUCUAUUUUAUGAUAGCUGUAGUGAUAAACUUGAUUUACAGUACUGAGGAUUACCUACCAGGCAUUUUUGCAGCCCAGUUGGAAAUCCGUAUUGAAUUCCAAAGAAUGAGCAAACGCCACUUGCAAUAGUGAGACCUUGUUAAUGAAAAGCCUUUCAAAUCUAGGGACAUCAAUAAAAAGAAUAAAUAGUUAAAGGGAAAGGUGUUGUAUUAACUUCUGAAAUCCAGGGUAAAAUCUGCUAGGUAGCCUGAAAACUAUGGAAGACCAACAUCAUCAUUAUAUGCAAACUUGCAUGGGUAUGAAUGUAUUUAAGUAGCUGCUGUGGAAAGAACACGAGGCUGCAUGCAUGAAUUUGUAUCUGGGUCUCACAUUUCAUGCAAGUUACCUAAAUAAAUUUAUCAUAAGGAAGAUACCAACGCUAUCUUUUCCUCACGAGGCCAAAUUUGGCAUCUAUGUUCUGAGAACACCUCUGGAUUAGAUCCUACAGAUAAGACUAAAUUUUAAGUGUGCGUGCCUGCGUGUGGCUUCUGAAUAUUGUCCUAAUUCAGUUAAAAACAAAAACUGUGGCAUGACUUCCCCUUUGGCUUUGGAGCUUUCUGCUUUAUAAAAGCUCAGUGUUCUUGUGACCACCAUGGAAGAAGCGCUGAGCAGCAGCUGGUUCCAAGAAAUGUGAGUUGUUUCCAUGUGUAACAGCAAAAAGUGGUACCAGAAGGUAUAGAGGACAGAAGCUUAAUGGAUCAAGUCAGGAAAGAAAGAAGACAUGGGUGAGUGAGAACUGGAAAAUAGAGCAGAAGAACUUGGGGGUUGACGCAGAAUUUU